rnacentral:rRNA from 1 species
UGGGGAAUAUUGGACAAUGGGGGCAACCCUGAUCCAGCAAUGCCGCGUGUGUGAAGAAGGCCUGCGGGUUGUAAAGCACUUUCAGUGGGGAAGAAAAGGUACGGGAUAAUACCCCGGGCUCUUGACGUCACCCACAGAAGAAGCACCGGCUAACUCCGUGCCAGCAGCCGCGGUAAUACGGAGGGUGCGAGCGUUAAUCGGAAUUACUGGGCGUAAAGCGCACGUAGGUGGUGUGUCAAGUCGGAUGUGAAGGCCCUGGGCUUAACCUGGGAACUGCAUUCGAAACUGACUCACUAGAGUAUGGGAGAGGGAAGUGGAAUUUCCGGUGUAGCGGUGAAAUGCGUAGAUAUCGGAAGGAACACCAGUGGCGAAGGCGACUUCCUGGACCAAUACUGACACUGAGGUGCGAAAGCGUGGGGAGCAAACAGGAUUAGAUACCCGGAUAGUCC